GGUAGUCCACGCCGUAAACGAUGUCGACUUGGAGGUUGUUCCCUUGAGGAGUGGCUUCCGGAGCUAACGCGUUAAGUCGACCGCCUGGGGAGUACGGCCGCAAGGUUAAAACUCAAAUGAAUUGACGGGGGCCCGCACAAGCGGUGGAGCAUGUGGUUUAAUUCGAUGCAACGCGAAGAACCUUACCUACUCUUGACAUCCACGGAAUUCGGCAGAGAUGCCUUAGUGCCUUCGGGAACCGUGAGACAGGUGCUGCAUGGCUGUCGUCAGCUCGUGUUGUGAAAUGUUGGGUUAAGUCCCGCAACGAGCGCAACCCUUAUCCUUUGUUGCCAGCGAUUCGGUCGGGAACUCAAAGGAGACUGCCGGUGAUAAACCGGAGGAAGGUGGGGAUGACGUCAAGUCAUCAUGGCCCUUACGAGUAGGGCUACACACGUGCUACAAUGGCGCAUACAAAGAGAAGCGACCUCGCGAGAGCAAGCGGACCUCAUAAAGUGCGUCGUAGUCCGGAUCGGAGUCUGCAACUCGACUCCGUGAAGUCGGAAUCGCUAGUAAUCGUGGAUCAGAAUGCCACGGUGAAUACGUUCCCGGGCCUUGUACACACCGCCCGUCACACCAUGGGAGUGGGUUGCAAAAGAAGUAGGUAGCUUAACCUCCGGGAGGGC
rnacentral:rRNA from 2 species